CCUCCCCCGCGGCCCGCCGCCUCGCCCGGCCGUCCCGCUCGCCGCGGCCUCCUCUCCUCCCCCGCGCCCCCCUUCUCCCACCUCGCCGCCGCCUCCUCUCCCCUCCCGCGCCCCCCUCGCCCUGCCCGUCCAAGCUCAGGGUCGAGGGGCGCGACCCCUUGCGCGACGAAAACCCUAGCCGCCCCCGUCGCUCCUUGGUCCUUGCAGCCUCAGCCUCAGCCACCGCCGCGCCCCUGUCCCCCUCUCCUCCCCGUUCCUCUCCUGCCGCCGUUCGCCUACUCUGCCCGGUCGUGCUCCCUUCGCCUCCUCCGCCUAGAUGUGCGACUCGAGCCGGCAAGAUCCAGCCAUGGCAGCCAACUCUGCCCUUCCCGAGCCUGACGACGAAGGGGUUGGUGAGCGCGGUGGUGGCCAUGGAUGAACUCGAGCCCGGGCGUGUGGGCGUGUUGGUGGAGCCAUCUAUCUACCCGAGGGAGCUAAUUCGGUAAUGGAAAGACCCGACCGCCGCUCAGGGGCAUUCUGGCAUCUGCCGCCGCCGAUCUAGAUCUAGCUCCAGAUCAGAAGUGGCGGAUGGGAGCCCAUCCGAUCUAUUUUCACUCCGAUGUGCGAGCAGCCGAUGCACCUAAACUCGACCAUGAUUGGAAACGCAGGAAGCAGUACCGUAAUGUGCUUACACAGAGGGCAACACCAAGCAAGAUGAGCUAUAUUGAAUGGUGUAUGUUGAGCUCUAAAGACAAGCACGGCCCUGACACUGGCAGCCGGACAACUCGAGUGUGGCGUCCAUGCUGGCGUGCAGUGGCUUCAAGCGGCUCUUCCCGGCUUCCCACCACCGUCGUCGGCCAAGCGCAUCCGUGCGCUCCUGCCAUGGCGGCACGGCUCCGUCAAGCCCAAUGGGGCAUCCAUCCCUGAGGGCAGCGAGCUGGAGCUGGGCCUGGACAAGGGAUUCAGCUUUUCCAAGCACUUCUUCGCCAAGUACGAGCUCGGCAAGGAGGUCGGAUGUGGCCACUUCGGAUACACCUGCGCCGCCAAGGCCUAGAAGGGCGAGCACAAGGCCAGGACAUCGCUGUCAAGGUCAUCCCCAAGGACAAGUUGUGUGUGCUUCACCUUGGCUUGCCUUUGCUCAAUUUGGUGCACUACUAGAUUAUGAAUCUCUAAACCAGUUGGGGCUUGUGAUUGGUGUUUAUGUUAGUUGGGUGCAGAUAAUGAGAAACAUAGUAAGGUACGAAUGCUACUAAUUUGUUCCUCACAUGCAUAGACAUAAAGAAAGGUGAGGAUCCACAUGUGCGUAUGUUCUAUCAUUUUUCCCUAACAAAAUUUUCAGCAAAUAGCUAGGGUCAAAAAUGCAAAGCAGUUGAACUAGAAAAUUGUGUACCACAUGAGCAGUAUAUAACGAUGGAUUGUUAUCGUGGGUGAAAGCAGUUUAUCACGAUGGCAUUGUUACGAUUUUCCUGCCAAUUAAAUAUGGCCAAGAUGCUUCCUUUCCAUAAUAAAUUUUCUUCCGACCAACUGACUUUAUUUUGUGUAUCUCCUUUUAGUUUGUUGAAUCAGGCUUGCCAACUAAGCAAAACCAAGAUACGAAACCAUGCCAAACAAAAGAGAAACCACUAAAACUUUAUAUAUUUUUGAGCUGUACAGUAGGGUAACUUCCCACUGCUAUUUUUAUUAAAAGCAAGCCAAAACUAUUUUUUGCGAAGUGUACAGGAGGAAUGUAGGUGAAAUUGUAUUUGAUGCAUAUUCCCUUUGUUCUGACUUCUGUUUGAUACAUACUCUAUUUUAGAAAAUAUAUAGGAUAUAGCCAAUAGGGCAAGUUUAUGGUUACAUUUAUCUUUACGAUGCUUAUACGAAGAAUGUAGAGGAAAAUAUAUUUCACAUGGCAUUUCAGUUUCUGAAUUUUCCCUCGACUUUUAUUUUUUUUUCAUAUAUUUUCUUUUUAUAUUGUUUAUAUUGCACAAUGAUAAGGUUUCCUUAUUUCAUAUUUUAAGAUACCAUCUGCUUGGUCAUCUCAUAGGCUCAUAGCUCUUUUUGUUUGUGUUUGAAUAUAUUUUAUGAUUGAAAAUUUGAUGUGGGACUGGGAAAAUCUCAGUUCUAUGUACAUGAUUCUUCUAUUUUUUUCAUGGUGUUGAAUGUCCUCAUAUAUACCCGUUUGUUAUGUUUAUGUCCUAUAAAUAAUGAAAUGGUUUAUAUAGAAAGUUUUUAUGUUUUUGUUAUAGUAUGUUGUCGAUGAUGUGUUUGGUCUGGAACAUGGAGAUUAACAUUAAAAUUUUCGUAUCUUCUAUCUUUAUGCUUUGUUAUUUACUUUAUGCAACCCAGAUUUUCCUAUUUUGCACUGCCACUGGCUUGCUUUCGGUGUCGUAUGACCCAACUCUUUUUGCUGAACUUGACGCGGAUCAAUUGUCCUGUCUUGCUUUUGAAACAUAUUAAAUGUUUCUUCUUUGUCAUGAUCUUGACAAUCAAUUAUCCUAUAGAUACUAAAGUCAUUAGUUCUGAGCGAAUAUUGUAAUUUCCUUUGGAUGUACUAAGCAAUUUAUAGUAUAUUGACAUGUUGGACCAUGGCGCUGGGAUGGGCAGCCUGCCUCAAAGGCGCACUUCCGGUCGACACAUGAUGGUCAGACUUAGCACUGGAGGUGUUAUGAGACAGGCCCGAAUGAUGAUGGCCACAAUAUAAUGUUACUCUGCAGGCUGCCGCGGACUUGGUAAGCAUGAUUCUUCCUCACCUUAUUAUAUUACCAAUCUGUCGCACAUGUGUGUACAUCCUCAGGGUGUCUAUGUGGAGCAUAUAGUACACGAUUGACUAAUAGUAAUUUAGUUUUGACUUCCACCAUACCAGAAUAGUUUUAUGAUUGAACUAUUGCUGGUAUGCUCCUCUUGCUUUUCUAUUGCCUAGCUUUAUUUAGUUUGCAGCAUCAAGGAAUGGUGCAUUCUAAAAUAAGAAAACUGAGGUUGUGAUAACUUUAUUGAAAUGCUUUCAGAUCCAUCUUAAUUUCUUUAAAGGAGUAGCCACUGCCAUUUCAAAGUUGUAUAGUGUUCUCGCUGAAUACUCAUGUCCUUUAAAAGUUUAAGUUUGUCUUAAAAGCUCACCAUGUUCCUUUUAACAAAAUUAAUGCAAUGAUUUGCUAUGUCUGACAAAGGCUGGUCAAUUGGGCAUCGACUGAAACCAGUCAAUUUUUGGCUCUUACUCAUAUAGUUAUUCAUAUGAACUUAUUCAAUUAUGUUUGGCAUGGUCCAUAGGUGAUUAUAUGACCUAUUCCAUUUGCUUUUCCUGUAGGCCAUGGAAGUUAGUGGGGUUUUUGGCUCUUACUGAUAUAGUUAUUCAUAUGAAAAUAAACAUGUGAUGAUUGGGUUUCACGUAUUGGUGAGGAGGGUGCUUGAUUGGUUCAGAACCCUAGCUGGUUCUCAUAUUUAUGUUUGAGGAAUCCGUCGUUUGAGAAUUUGCAAUGGUUGUCGGUUAGGUUCACGACAUGGAGACGUUAACAGUGUUCUCCAUCAAGAUGUUAACUGAACUUCAAAAGAAAUCAGUUGGUUGUUUGUCCAAAAUUAUUUCAAACCUGAGAACUUGGGGUUGCUUAGAGUUAGAUAUUUUGUAAAAGGUUGUCGUGCUGCUAUACUACUGAUGAGUCACAAAGGGUCGAGUUAAUUGCUACAAUACUAACUCUAAUUAGCAUUACUAGCAUAUUUAUCAUUUCCUUAAUUGUUAAUAAUAUAUGUAAUGCUCACUCUGCUUCGACGGUCAAUCCUUGACGCCUGUCACAACAAAGGUGAGUCAACGGUUUGGUUCCUCUAUCCCUCUUUCUCUACUUUAUCCACACUCAAAUCUCACUCUUCUGGCUCAGAUCCAGCGCACAACGCAUGGUGGACGUGGACAUUAGAGCUGUUUGCAAUAAGGGAUCUCCAGGCUCGGCAUCAUCGAGGACAAGAAUCUCUGAACCAAAGGAAGAUGACUAUGUAAUACUGAUUCCCCAUUCCCACAUCUUUGCCCUCAUGCUUCAAGCUCUCAAGUUGCCCCCUGCAACUUACCAUCACAAGACAUGUCCGGGUAACGAGUCACAUGAUGGUUACUUUCAAUUCAUCGUUAUAGUUGAUCGAUGGUUUGCUUGUUCCAACCUCGAUAUCUGGUGUGAUCUCAAAGAACUAUGAUGAUGCAGAAGACAGCGCUGCUAUCGCAGCCAUUAGGUUUAUGGAGGAUGCAUGUGGCAAGGAAAUUAGGGAUUAUCACUACUCCCACGUUAAAAGCUGGAAAAUCAAGUCACACACUUGGUAAAGUUGCUGGUUGCAGCAAACAAGACGAUAAAGAAGGUGCGCAGAGGAUGGUACUAUGCUGUCGGAUACAUGAGCUCGUAUUCUACCCAGAUAUAGAAUACGACAGUUGCCCGACACCUAAGAGGGCAGGACAACACCAAAAGGGCUAUGAAAACAGCACUCACAAGCACAGGAAAGUUGGCAAAAAGGCUACAUUAUAUUGGCAUGAAAUCGGAGCAGUGCCUGGACACCAGGGAUAGUAUCUGGUGAGUUCGGUCAGCACAUCGUACCCAACAUGCUUAGGGAGCAUUGCCUUUGCCCUUUUGAUGUUCUUCUAUAUCCUGUUAUGUUUGUAAUGGAAGGUACCACCUGGUAGUAUGUUGCUGUUCUCACUUUGCUUUGAACAAGUCAUGUAUAAACUUUAAGUUUUAGUUCCUAUCUCUGUGUCGUAAACAAUGUUCUUGUGUUCUAUCUCU